rnacentral:tRNA from 1 species
GGGCGGUUAGCUCAGUUGGUUAGAGCAUCUGCUUUACACGCAGAGGGUCACUGGUUCGAAUCCAGUACUGCCCA